rnacentral:rRNA from 1 species
GAUGAACGCUGGCGGCGUGCCUAAUACAUGCAAGUCGAGCGAACGGUCGAGAAGCUUGCUUCUCUGAUGUUAGCGGCGGACGGGUGAGUAACACGUGGAUAACCUACCUAUAAGACUGGGAUAACUUCGGGAAACCGGAGCUAAUACCGGAUAAUAUUUUGAACCGCAUGGUUCAAAAGUGAAAGACGGUCUUGCUGUCACUUAUAGAUGGAUCCGCGCUGCAUUAGCUAGUUGGUAAGGUAACGGCUUACCAAGGCAACGAUGCAUAGCCGACCUGAGAGGGUGAUCGGCCACACUGGAACUGAGACACGGUCCAGACUCCUACGGGAGGCAGCAGUAGGGAAUCUUCCGCAAUGGGCGAAAGCCUGGCGGAGCAACGCCGCGUGAGUGAUGAAGGUCUUCGGAUCGUAAAACUCUGUUAUUAGGGAAGAACAUAUGUGUAAGUAACUGUGCACAUCUUGACGGUACCUAAGCAGAAAGCCACGGCUAACUACGU